rnacentral:rRNA from 1 species
UACGAAGGGGGCUAGCGUUGCUCGGAAUUACUGGGCGUAAAGCGCACGUAGGCGGUCUUUUAAGUCGGGGGUGAAAUCCCGGGGCUCAACCCCGGAACUGCCUUUGAUACUGGGUAUCUCGAGUCCGGAAGAGGUGAGUGGAAUUCCGAGUGUAGAGGUGAAAUUCGUAGAUAUUCGGAGGAACACCAGUGGCGAAGGCGGCUCACUGGUCCGGUACUGACGCUGAGGUGCGGAAAGCGUGGGGAGCAAACAGG